rnacentral:rRNA from 1 species
UAUUGCACAAUGGGGGAAACCCUGAUGCAGCCAUGCCGCGUAGUGUGAAGUAAGGACCUUCGGGUUGUAAAGCACUUUCAGUAGGGAGGAAGGUAGUGUAGUUAACACCUGCAUUAUUUGACGUUACCUACAGAAGAAGCACCGGCUAACUCCGUGCCAGCAGCCGCGGUAAUACGGAGGGUGCGAGCGUUAAUCGGAAUUACUGGGCGUAAAGCGCAUGCAGGCGGCCUGUUAAGUCAGAUGUGAAAGCCCGGGGCUUAACCUCGGAAUUGCAUUUGAAACUGGCAGGCUAGAGUCUUGUAGAGGGGGUAGAAUUUCAGGUGUAGCGGUGAAAUGCGUAGAGAUCUGAAGGAAUACCAGUGGCGAAGGCGGCCCCCUGGACAAAGACUGACGCUCAGAUGCGAAAGCGUGGGGAGCAAACAGGAUUAGAUACCCUGGUAG